UGUAAUGUUACUUAGCUCGCUAUUACUUCAGUGACACUGACCUGACUUAAUUUUCUCAGCAACAACCAAAAAAAACUAACAAAAAACCCGCAAGAAUGAGUGAAUCCGAUCACAUAAGCGAUUCCGAAAAUGAGGAAACGGGCGAAAAUCUUUACCUAAAGAGGUUAAUGAUGGGGCAAAACUCACCCCUCCCUGACUCCUGUGUCAGCUUCAGGGUUAACGAAUCUUCUCCCCAGAUUGGACUAUUGAAUUCCCACAUGUUGAAAAUGAAAAUUCCUUGUGCUCCACCUGCAGUCAACCAGAUGGCUUCAGGUUUCCACAGAGUUAGGCCAGCAGAGACUUCACUUCAGAAGGAUAAACUGAAGGAUGAUAUGGAUGGAGACAGCGGACAAGCCUCGAAGUGUCAGCAGCUUUUCAUGAAAAGACGAGCCUCAGAGAAAAUCAGGGCUGUAGAGAGCCAGACGACCUCCAGACAGGCCUCUCCAGGGACGCACCAGUAUGACGAGUCUCCCACCACACCAAGACAGGCACAGUGCACAGGGCUCUCUCCUCCGGCGUCUGGCUCCAGCCAAUCAGAUCCAGCCACUACAAGACGCUCACUGAGGAAGAGAGUGGCUGCCAACAGUGAAGUCAACCACAGGGUGGCGCCAGAGGCCAACAUCCCCCCAGGCCAAGAGAGCCGUCAAUUUAACAGGAUAUGGGUAGAUAGAAUAUCUGUGGGAGAGGCCUAUCAAGACUCUCAACUGGCUGAAAGCCAGCAGACCCCAGCCGCAGUACAUCGCCCUACCAGACUCAGAGGGAGAAAAAUGACAACACCUUACAGUGACAGCAAAGCGGCUAAGAGCUUCACUCAAAAUGAGGACGUUGCUAAUCUAAAGUUGACAAAAAGGGAGGAGGCCCACAGAGAGGUGCCAGCACUUGCAACGCGUCAUCAGGCCUCUGAAAGAGCACAAAGUGGCCGAAGUGAAAGCAAGACCAAACUGGAAUUGAAGGAGAAAAAGAUGUUGACGGUCAGUCAGAUUAACAAGAGGAACCGUUAUGGAGAGUCAAAACUACAUUUAGCAGUGAUGAGGGGACAUGAGCAAGAAGUCAGAGACAUCAUGAGGUUGGGGACCUCCAUCAACAUCCAAGAUAAUGCAGGCUGGGCUCCUCUACACGAAGCUGUGCUCGCAAAAAAAGUGUCCAUAAUGGGCCACUUACUAAGAGGAGGAGCCAUGGUUAAUAUCUCUGCCCACAGUGGUGUCACUCCACUACAUGAUGCAGUAGCGCUCGGAGAAUAUGAGAUGGUUGAUCUUCUACUAAAGCAUGGUGCUGACCCAAAGCUGAAAGAUGCUAGGGGCAUGGCACCCAUAGACCUGGUGACAACAGCUCCUAUUGCAAAACUGUUAGGGCAUCCUGAUAUGAAAUUCUGCCCGCAAGGAGAUGUGAAGUCCCCUGGCGGCUGCCCUGCCGAGACCUCAUACGUGGAGGAGAAUGAACCAGCUGCAUUCCAAGGCACCACUGAGGACUCAUGCAGCAAUGAUUGUCAAGACGACCAGGCGGCGCUCUCAGUUUGUGGCGUGCCAGCUGAAAAAAAGAUGAAAAUCACUGACAGCGGGAAACAGAACAGCCCUUUGAACAUUCCCCAGCGCGACACCAUCCGCUCAGAUAAGAGCGAGUCAGGAAAUGCUAUCGAAAGCUCUGGUGUCUUCUCUCCAACCAAUGGAAAAACAGAGUUGCUGUUAACAGAUGAAAAAGGAGGGAGACACACUGAAUGUAUGGACCUGAACGUGAAGCCUCGUAGGCCUACACAGAAGAGCCUGGCUGAAGCAGAGGCAGGCCAGGGUGAUAAUGAGAUUUUAACUAACAUGAGUGUGAUGCACCCCCUUAGACCCAUCAGGGAGGAGCAACUAGGAGAAGUUGCCAUGGAGAUGACCUCUGACCUUUGCACAGGAAUUUAUACCGAAACAUGUCAAAAUUCAGUAGGAAACAAAUAUAUGUGCGUUAGAGUUGUAGGCCACGACAAGAUGAAAUAUGAGUCACUCAGGACACAGAAAGUCUCAGGGGAUGUGUGGGGGAAGUGUGCAGGAAAUUAUUUCACUUUCUGUCAAGGUCAAGAGAAUCCUACAAAUGAUGAGGAAGUCUGCUUAACGGCUACAGACUACAUAAUGCUUGAAGGUUGUGACAGUGUUACCCAACACUCAGAAAGUGCGUGGAAAGCAGAAACUGUGGAAAGCAGAACUGACGAUUUCGGUUUCAAAGAUGCUACAGAUGUAUGCGUUUUGGACAACACAGAGGAGUGCAGUGUGUCUUUACUUGCGUUUCACACAGACACAGUAAAGCAAAGUACUUCCUGUGCAAGGGAAGUUUACGAGCCCGUUGAACAUGCUAAAUCAGUAGGGCUUAUUGGGUCAUCCGUGGCCGAGUCAUCUGAUUUAUGCGACAGCGACUCUCCGUCCCUUCUGACAGGAGCGAUCAGAAAAUGCAAGCAGAAUGAAGAAAUGCAGACAGUGGCAUGGUGUCCCGAAGAACGGCCAACACCUUGGAAUGCCAGGUCUGAAGCACACGGCGAGCCCUCAGAAAUUACACCUAGCCUUCAGAUAUCACACACUGGCCUGCCACACCUGGAUAAAACCUACAAAGGGGAGGCAUCGCAAAACUCACACAGGUCAAAGUACUGUCUGUCUGAUGGCCCUGAAACACAAAGAAACACAACUCAUGCUUUUAAUAGCCAAAUAAAUAUUUGCAUUUCUCCCUCACAGUCAAUGAAGCGUGACGUUAAAUGUCACGCACAGACAAACCAGUUUAAUGAAUCUGCCGCAACAUGUUUUUUUGAGGGAACAGAAAAGAAUAAGACUGAUCAGAGUGUCUGUUUUCAACCUAGCAGCAGGAAUGCCCCUGGUACACCAAUGAGCAGCCAUCAGUCUGUGGACUCGUCAGAUGCAACCAUGCUCAGUCGGUUUGAACUCAUUGGGAAAUAUGUGAGCCAGGGAGUAGUCAGUGAAAACACGCCUGGCAGGAAUUUGUGUGAUGUGCCGUGCGAGGGACCCAGUGGUCUCCUACUACCCUCCGAUACCAGCAUGAGGGGAGAUCUGGGGAAUUCAGCUUUCACUGAGGCAAACGGUGUCACAAUCACUGGUCAAAUCCAAACUAAAACCAAAGCAGAUGAACUCAACUGCUCCAGUGAUUCUGACUGCACCAUGAUAUCUGAGUCUGAGUACACCCAUGCCAACAAGUUGAGGCAUGAUAUUAUUACCGAGAUUGAGCCAACAAACCCCAGCCUCUGUCCAAGGUCUUGUAGUCAGAAUGACAUCGAAAAUGGGAAUGAAAAUUUGCUUCCUAAUGGCAGCGAAUCAGAGACAUUCAGUGGUAUUAUCACUGGGACCAAUGCUACCACCACUAACACCUCUGUCACUAGCCAGAGUGUGCCAAAACGCAAGGCUAAGACACCAAAACAAAAGAAGAGGCAGAGCGUGUCAACAAAAUCACAGGGCAGUUGGAAACAAUGGCAGCUGAGCAAAACAGUUAGGACCCAGUAUGACUCACCAGUGGAUAAAGUCCCUGUGGAAAAUGCGAAGGUAAACAUGAGAACUAUUCAUAAGAGAAAUGGAUUGGGAGAGACUCAGCUGCACCGAGCAUCCAAGAGAGGGGACUUGGCCUCAGUCAAAGCUCUGAUCGAGGCUGGUAUAGAUUUAAAUCUUGCAGACUAUGCAGGGUGGACGGCCCUGCACGAGGCCAGUGCUGGAGGCUUCACCGCCGUGGUGGAGGAGUUGCUGUGCGCCGGCGCUGACGUUACCAGCCGUGGACCUGAGGGACUGACAGCUUUGCAUGAUGCCGUGGUAUCUGGCUGGUCUGAGGUAGUAAAGCUUCUUCUACAGAAUGGAGCAAACCCUAACGAUAGAAAUGCUCAGGGAAAGAGCGCCUUGGACUUGGCGUGGCGUGAAGACAUCAAAGAGGUGCUCUCGACGUUCAAGGGAUCUCCAGUGCGCCGAGUUGUGCGUCGCCAUCAGCCUACUCAUGAGUGCACAUACCAGGUGAAACCAAACCACUCUCCCGUAAGCCCUCAGCGCAAACCAGAGGAAGACCCAAAGGACCAGGAGCCCAGCAGAAUUACCACCAUGAAAAGCACUGUCUGUCUCAACAAGGCAGCUCACACAGACUCCAUCAUGGCCAUACUAGAUGAGGUUGAAAGAAAGCAGAAAGACUUGUCAGGCUGGCAGUUAGCUCAUUCUGAAGAAAAAGAGUGCACAUACCAGGUGAAACCAAACCACUCUCCCGUAAGCCCUCAGCGCAAACCAGAGGAAGACCCAAAGGACCAGGAGCCCAGCAGAAUUACCACCAUGAAAAGCACUGUCUGUCUCAACAAGGCAGCUCACACAGACUCCAUCAUGGCCAUACUAGAUGAGGUUGAAAGAAAGCAGAAAGACUUGUCAGGCUGGCAGUUAGCUCAUUCUGAAGAAAAAGACAAAUUCAUGGAGAAAUGGUCACAGAUGCAGACCAAGUUGAACGAAGUGCUUAUUAAACAACAAUCGGCUAAAGAUGACCUCACAAAUAAGUACAGGAUGGCUCCCGACUCAUUUGAACAGGGCACUUUGAGAGAGAGCCUCACAGCUCUGGCCUCCCGUCAAAAACGCCUCUUGGGCCUUCUACAGAAGCAGAGCGAGUUAAAACUCAAGGUCCAAACUCCGAAAGGUCGAUCAGGACUUGAACGUCAGAAAGUUUCAAAACCUGCUGCCUCCAAAAAGACAAACCCCACUGCCUUUGUAACUGGCAGUCUGAACAACCAUGCUGUCACAAAGGAUCCCACGAUAGGUAACGUUGUUUCCACUCCCCCUGGACCAGCACCCACAGACAUAAAAACACAACAGAAAGGAGGAGGUGGCCUCACGUACCAAACCACCAAAUUCUUGUCUGGGACUGAUCUUUCAAGCUUGUCAACAGACCGCAUAACAGCUCCAGUCUACACCGUAUCGCUACCCACAGCCCUUUCACAGGGCCAGUCGGGCAUUGUUGUGGUCAGCCAUGGAGGGCAGAGCUUUGCCUUUGUUGGCCUCCCCUCAUUGAGUGUCCCUGCAGCAUCUUACAAACAGCCCGAUCCCAAACGUAGAUGUUCAACACCCCCCCAUUCCACAGACAGUUCUCAAACGAGCCUGGCUGACCUGGAGCUGCCUGGAAACCCUCUGACGCUGGCACAGGGCAAUGUGGGCACGUCACACCACGUGACCCCAAUGCUCAAAACUGGAAGUGCCAGCAGUGGCCCUGGGGUAAAAUCAGUAACGUCAAAAACCAAGAAGCGCUGUUUGAAAUCCAGCACUGGCCCUGAAGAUGCUGGAGGUGCCAAGGGCAUGUCUUUGGCCUCAGUUUACACCAGCCAUGGCACAAAAGACAUUCAGCAAGACAGAGCAUCAGAAACACAGGGUAGCAGUGCUUCAGAAGGUUACGAGGGCUGUGGAAAGCAGACCAACCAGCUUGCUAGCCUCAUAAGACAAGGAAUCCUUACACCGGCAGAGAAUGCACUGGAGUUCAAACUAAAGGGCUCCUGUCACCAAGCAUCCCUUCUCCAGGGCGGCUCCAUCCGAGACAUACAUGGCAAAGACUUUGUUACCCCCGAGCAGUGGGUUGAGUCCAUUCUAGGAAACAACAUUCCUGUGUCUUCAGCAUAUGCGUGGGAAAAGUUCUCCAAGUCCAAGUGAUGCUGUCAGUGCGAGUCUAUGCAGACAGUGCAAAGGAGAGCUUUUGGAAAUGAAUUAUUUAGAGGUGCACUGCAGAGCCACGCAAACAGCUAGGCCAUAGUCACCCCAGUCUUACCGAAAUGAUCACAUCAAAGCCAGUUGCAAGAUGCAUGCCAAGAAAUUAGUUAAACCAGGAUAUGUAACAAGGAGACUAAUAUUUAUUUUGCAUAAAUAAUCUGUCACUGUCUGUAAAUUGUGUGUGUGUGUGUGUGUUCAUGUGUUUGUGUGUGUGCACGUGCGUGCGUGUGUGUGCUUGCGUGUACAGAUAACCUUCAGAUCCAGGUCCCUCAGUGCUUAUGUGACUGUUGAUGAUGCAGGGAGUGCCCAGGCUGCAAGUCUGAAUGCCAAUGAACCAGACCCUCUUGCAUCACAGCCAAAAGAGAUCAAGAAAAAUAUCAGUGGGAAUUACAUGGAG